rnacentral:rRNA from 1 species
GACGAACGCUGGCGGCGUGCCUAACACAUGCAAGUCGAACGGAACUGUUUUGACAGAUUUCUUCGGAAUGAAUUUGAUUUAGUUUAGUGGCGGACGGGUGAGUAACGCGUGAGUAACCUGCCUUCAAGAGGGGAAUAACAUUCUGAAAAGAAUGCUAAUACCGCAUGACAUAUCGGAACCACAUGGUUUUGAUAUCAAAGAUUUUAUCGCUUGAAGAUGGACUCGCGUCCGAUUAGUUAGUUGGUGAGGUAACGGCUCACCAAGACCGCGAUCGGUAGCCGGACUGAGAGGUUGAACGGCCACAUUGGGACUGAGACACGGCCCAGACUCCUACGGGAGGCAGCAGUGGGGGAUAUUGCGCAAUGGGGGCAACCCUGACGCAGCAACGCCGCGUGAAGGAUGAAGGUUUUCGGAUUGUAAACUUCUUUUAUUAAGGACGAAAAAUGACGGUACUUAAUGAAUAAGCUCCGGCUAACUACGUG